UACGAAGGGGGCUAGCGUUGCUCGGAAUCACUGGGCGUAAAGGGUGCGUAGGCGGGUCUUUUAGUCAGGGGUGAAAUCCUGGAGCUCAACUCCAGAACUGCCUUUGAUACUGAGGAUCUUGAGUUCGGGAGAGGUGAGUGGAACUGCGAGUGUAGAGGUGAAAUUCGUAGAUAUUCGCAAGAACACCAGUGGCGAAGGCGGCUCACUGGCCCGGUACUGACGCUGAGGUGCGAAAGCGUGGGGAGCAAACAGG
rnacentral:rRNA from 1 species